rnacentral:rRNA from 1 species
GGUGAUCUACCCAUGUCCAGGAUGAAGGUAAGGUAAUACUUACUGGAGGUCCGAACCCACGCACGUUGAAAAGUGCGGGGAUGAGGUGUGGGUAGCGGAGAAAUUCCAAUCGAACUUGGAGAUAGCUGGUUCUCUCCGAAAUAGCUUUAGGGCUAGCCUCGAGGUAAAGAGUCAUGGAGGUAGAGCACUGUUUGGACUAGGGGCCCUUCUCGGGUUACCGAAUUCAGAUAAACUCCGAAUGCCAUGUACUUAUACUCGGGAGUCAGACUGCGAGUGAUAAGAUCCGUAGUCGAAAGGGAAACAGCCCAGACCACCAGUUAAGGUCCCCAAAUAUAUGUUAAGUGGAAAAGGAUGUGGGGUUGCUUAGACAACCAGGAUGUUGGCUUAGAAGCAGCCACCAUUGAAAGAGUGCGUAAUAGCUCACUGGUCGAGUGACCCCGCGCCGAAAAUGUACCGGGGCUAAACAUAUUACCGAAACUGUGGAUGAACCUCUUUAGAGGUUCGUGGUAGGAGAGCGUUCUAAGGGCGGUGAAGUCAGACCGGAAGGACUGGUGGAGCGCUUAGAAGUGAGAAUGCCGGUAUGAGUAGCGAAAGAAGGGUGAGAAUCCCUUCCACCGAAUAUCUAAGGUUUCCUGAGGAAGGCUCGUCCGCUC